rnacentral:rRNA from 1 species
AGAGUUUGAUCCUGGCUCAGGAUGAACGCUAGCGGCAGGCCUAAUACAUGCAAGUCGAACGGGAGUAGCAAUACUCUAGUGGCGCACGGGUGCGUAACGCGUAUGCAACCUACCUUUCAGUGGGGGAUAGCCCGGGGAAACCCGGAUUAAUACCGCAUAAGAUAGUUGAAUGGCAUCAUUUAAUUAUGAAACAUUUAUGGCUGAAAGAUGGGCAUGCGUUAGAUUAGCUAGUUGGUGAGGUAGAGGCUCACCAAGGCUAUGAUCUAUAGGGGUUCUGAGAGGAAGAUCCCCCACACUGGUACUGAGACAGGGACCAGACUCCUACGGGAGGCAGCAGUAGGGAAUAUUGGGCAAUGGAGGCAACUCUGACCCAGCCAUGCCGCGUGCAGGAAGAAGGCCUUCUGGGUUGUAAACUGCUUUUGGAAGGGAACAAAAAGGCGCUGCGGCGCAACUUGAGUGUACCUUCAGAAUAAGCACCGGCUAACUCCGUGCCAGCAGCCGCGGUAAUACGGAGGGUGCAAGCGUUGUCCGGAUUUAUUGGGUUUAAAGGGUGCGUAGGCGGCUUAUUAAGUCAGGGGUGAAAGACUGCAGCUCAACUGUAGCAGUGCCUUUGAUACUGAUGAGCUUGAGUACAGAUGAGGCAGGCGGAAUGGGUGGUGUAGCGGUGAAAUGCAUAGAUACCAUCCAGAACACCGAUUGCGAAGGCAGCCUGCUAAACUGUAACUGACGCUGAGGCACGAAAGCGUGGGGAUCGAACAGGAUUAGAUACCCCGGUAGUCC